UACAGAGGGGGCAAGCGUUGUUCGGAAUUAUUGGGCGUAAAGAGCUUGUAGGCGGUUUGUCGCGUCUGCUGUGAAAAUCCGAGGCUCAACCUCGGACUUGCAGUGGGUACGGGCAGACUAGAGUGUGGUAGGGGAGACUGGAAUUCCUGGUGUAGCGGUGAAAUGCGCAGAUAUCAGGAGGAACACCGAUGGCGAAGGCAGGUCUCUGGGCCACUACUGACGCUGAGAAGCGAAAGCAUGGGGAGCGAACAGG
rnacentral:rRNA from 1 species